GGGCUCUUCGUUUAACGGCAGGACACGACUCUUAUAAAGUCGACGCGGGAGUUCGACUCUCUCAGAGCCCA
rnacentral:tRNA from 2 species